CCUACGGGAGGCAGCAGUGAGGAAUAUUGGUCAAUGGGCGCAAGCCUGAACCAGCCAAGUCGCGUGAGGGAUGACGGUCCUAUGGAUUGUAAACCUCUUUUGUCGGGGAGCAAGGCCCGCCACGUGUGGCGGGAAGGAGAGUACCCGAAGAAAAAGCAUCGGCUAACUCCGUGCCAGCAGCCGCGGUAAUACGGGGGAUGCGAGCGUUAUCCGGAUUUAUUGGGUUUAAAGGGUGCGUAGGCGGAUGGUUAAGUCAGCGGUAAAAUGUCGGUGGUCACCACCGGCCUGCCGUUGAAACUGGUCGUCUUGAGUGAGCGAGAGGUAAGCGGAAUGCGGGGUGUAGCGGUGAAAUGCAUAGAUAUCACGAAGAACUCCGAGUGCGAAGGCAGCAUACCGGCGCGCAACUGACGCUGAGGCACGAAAGCGUGGGGAUCGAACAGGAUUAGAUACCCUGGUAGUC
rnacentral:rRNA from 1 species